CGGCGGACGGGUGAGUAACGCGUGGGUAACCUGCCUCAUACAGGGGGAUAACAGUUAGAAAUAGGCUGCUAAUACCGCAUAAGACCACAGUACUGCAUGGUACAGUGGUAAAAACUCCGGUGGUAUGAGAUGGACCCGCGUCUGAUUAGGUAGUUGGUGAGGUAACGGCCCACCAAGCCGACGAUCAGUAGCCGACCUGAGAGGGUGACCGGCCACAUUGGGACUGAGACACGGCCCAG
rnacentral:rRNA from 1 species